rnacentral:rRNA from 1 species
CCUACGGGAGGCAGCAGUGGGGAAUAUUGGACAAUGGGGGCAACCCUGAUCCAGCCAUGCCGCGUGUGUGAAGAAGGCCCUCGGGUUGUAAAGCACUUUCAGUGAGGAAGAACGCCUGGUGGUUAAUACCCAUCAGGAAAGACAUCACUCACAGAAGAAGCACCGGCUAACUCCGUGCCAGCAGCCGCGGUAAUACGGAGGGUGCGAGCGUUAAUCGGAAUUACUGGGCGUAAAGCGCGCGUAGGUGGCUUGAUAAGCCGGUUGUGAAAGCCCCGGGCUCAACCUGGGAACGGCAUCCGGAACUGUCAAGCUAGAGUGCAGGAGAGGAAGGUAGAAUUCCCGGUGUAGUGGUGAAAUGCGUAGAGAUCGGGAGGAAUACCAGUGGCGAAGGCGGCCUUCUGGACUGACACUGACACUGAGGUGCGAAAGCGUGGGUAGCAAACAGGAUUAGAUACCCCUGUAGUC